AUUAUGAGAUGAGAGCGGCACAUCAUCAAUACAAUUUCCUGAUUACAAAUGCUGAAAAGAGAAGCAUCAGUUAUCACCAGUAAAGAAAUUUCCAACAUAUAUAAUGGGCCAACAAAACACGAAUAUAAUUAAGAGAGCAAACUCUCAUACACUUCGGGCUUGUGGGCAGCAGCAGCAUCCUUGUGCCCUUCUGCCUUCACUUCAUGGAUGAACUUUUCCCGACAGUUUCUUUUCUGCUGUUUGUAUAAUAUCAUGGCAAGUACAAUCACCAUAACUGCUACGACAAUGUUACCAAACUUCGAAUACAAAUCCAAGCCUGUGUUCUGAUCAAUAUAGUCACCAUAGUUGUGGUGAUCAAGCUCAGGAUCUCUUGUGUAGUCAUAAACAUGCAAUAAAACCCUCAAAGCUGUCAAGCCAAUGUAGUAGAGUUCCCUCACAGGCUAACCUUUAUUCCGCUAGAAAGUGUUAGCAAUAACCUGUGGAAGCAAAAAGAAACUUUUCAAAUAAGUAGAAGAGAUUUUAUAUAUUUUAAUAUUUAAAAAAAACUUUUCAACUUCUACUCCUAAAAGUUUAAAAUUUGAGAUUUUACUAGUAGAGACAAAAUUGUUUAUUUAAGCUUCAAAAGUUUUAUUAGAAAAAAACAACAAAACAACAACAAAAAUUAUUAUAAAAGCUUAUGAGAUUAAAUAAGUAUUUAUGGUCAUUAAAUAAGCCAUAUCAAACUGACACUAAAUGUUCUUUUGAAGAAUUCAUCUCUACAACCAACCAGAUACGUCUUGCCAAGAUACAUGGGUAAUGAUUUCUUCAUCUCAAAUCCAUUCUCCAUUUACUUAUUUUAUAAUAGAUAUGGAUAAAUGAUUCUAGUAAAUUAAAAAUUAGAGAAUUGAAUAAAAUCAUAACCAUAUUAUAAAAUAUUUAAAUUAUUUAAAAAGCAUCUCCAAAAAGUUAAAACAAUAUCUUAAAAUGAUAUCAAAAUUAAAAAGUGUUUGAAGAGAGCAGCACCUUAAGAGAGAAAAAAAUAUAACAAUAUUUUAGGGUUGAGUAAGAAUUAUAA
rnacentral:lncRNA from 1 species